rnacentral:lncRNA from 1 species
GGGGUAUGUGAGGAUGCUGGGGAACCUGCUUAGGGGACUAGACAGUAAUGAAGAUCCAUGACAUGGGAGAGAGGGUAAAACCCGGGAUUAGCAAGGAAGAGCUCAGUAAUAGCCAAGAGCUUCUGCAAGCUUCGGAAGGGUGAUUUUGUUCAAAGAAACCUUAAGAGGUAGAAAGGCAUGAGCAAGUGGAGUCUGAGAAGGGCUUUUUCUCAGCGUGCAGGCGCAGGCGGAAGUUUUAGAAGUGUGGUGGGAGAGACAACUGUGAAAUGGGAAAGAUGCUGAGAAGGAAGCCUCAGAUCGGUGGACAGCCCCAAGAAAGACACGGAGGAGUUACCAGACAUAAACAGCCACCCUCAGGCCUACAGCCAUUCCCCUUUUUGUUGAAAGAGGAAGCAGUCACAGAAGGCACCCUUCACCCACUCUCUGUGGUCUCAAGAAGAGGAACCUGGAUCUGAUUUGGAUUUUUUUGAAGAAAUCUUGCUUUGAUGUGGUCUAAUCCAACUUCUUCAUUUGCUGGUCUGAGUGGGACAGUGGGUGCUGUACCUCUGUGGGGACCGACCAAGGGGAUUCUCUCAGCCAGGGAUCCCCCCAAGGGCGGAGUUUCCCAGCCCCGGUACCCAUGACUCCUCGGGUACCUCCAAUGAUCUCCAGGCUAUUGGAACCUUCUCUAGACAAAAUUUAAAUAUUGAAAUAAAUAUUCUAUGAAAAUAAACCUGUGGGAAAAAAU